rnacentral:lncRNA from 1 species
UUACAAACCCCCGGACCCCAAUAGUGAGUCAGGCUGUCCAUAUUGGAUUCAUUGAUCUUCGGUGCACAGCAAUACACUUUUCAGGACUGAAGUAAGGAGCAAGGAGUAAUUUUAAAGAAUAAAAAAAUCAAUGUCAAUACCAAAUGUUGUGCUUGAACAUCCAAUGCAUUUGAUAACUUGUCUUUUAUAAAAUGAAAUAUUACUGUUCAUAAAGAUUUAACGCAUUAACAUGAUAAAGGCUUUUAUUUGUUAGCAAAAUUUGAUGUGGGAGACAGAGAAAGCUUAAAAUAAGUUUGAAGCAAUUUUGAACUGCAAUUUUCUUCUUUUGGUGUAUGUGUUGGAGUGAAUAAUCAAGCCACGCAAAGUAAUGUUUCCUGAAAUUUUGCUAAGACACAUAUGCCAAAAGGAGAACAUCAAAGUUUAAAAUCGCUUGUGUGAACAGGCCUUAACAGGUGUGAAUUACCCAAGUUCUUUCAAAAUAUUUAAAAUGAUCCUCCCUGUCAUGGGGAGAUAAUUGCAGUAAAAUGGAUUAAUGAAUUAUAAAGUUUCCCUCAAUGAUCCCUCUAAUGCAUACCCUGGUUCCAGCGGUUUAAAAUAAACCUCUGGUUGAAAACGGCAAUUGAUUCAUCGAGCCGCGCCAAUCACUUUGAAUUAGGGUUGGAUGAUUGUAUUAAAGCUCUCUGAUUGUUUAUAGAUGUUUUAUUUGAAUCAAUCAGAGAGCUUUAAUACAAUCAUCCAACCAGAAGACAGAGUCAGGAUCUGACCCUAAUUCAAACUGAUUGGCGCAGCUCGAUGAAUCAAUUGCCGCAUUCAACCAGAGGUUUAUUUUUCCUCUUCCCUUCACAUUGAAAAUAAUAAAAAUAAACCUCUGCAACCAGGGUAUCUAAUGCAUGGCCAGGUCCAGAUCGAACAUUUCCAUCAAGUACUAACUGUGGGAAGAGAGGGCUAGGGUUAUGCAAGGCUGUCUUGUUUGUGUACAGCAUUUGUUUUCCAAUUGUGUUGGCAUUGCAACACAGCAUCCACAUUUGCCAUUUACCAAAUUGACAAAUGCAGCUGGCUGACGCUGCAUAAACUCUAACGCAAAUGCUCUUCAAAGGGCAUUUAAAUCCAUUGCUUCCACCAUAUUCUGAAAUGAAUAUAUUUAUCAUUAAUUAAAUGCAAAGACUCAAGCACAGUGAAACACAGAUAUUUCUUACCACCAAAUUACUGCAUUUUCACACCAAUGUAGACUUGUAUAUAGACAGGUAAACCUUUUUUCACAUAAUUUGAUAUUUUACCCGGCAAGGAUAUGCAUAAUUAUGUGGGGUUUUUAAUAAAACAAAUCAUGUGUGUUAAAGCCAUUGGUUAAAGCUUUCAGAAAUGUAUGUCUGCGUAUAUUCUUGGCAGGCAAAGUAUCAAAAUAUGUAAACGAAGUUUACCCAGCUAUUGUUAGAUAAUCAUUAUCCUUUGAGUGAACUAUCCCAGUGAACAACAUUGCAUAUUCUCAAAUGAACCAUUGCUCAGGCCAUUUUUUUGCGUAUAAAUUAACGAAACAUAUAUAAACUAAUGAAUGAAUACAAUAAGAUUACAUGUGAAGCACCGUUUAUAACGAACAGUACAUAACUAUAAAUAGCUAUAAUACAAACUCACCAUCUGUCCUUCGAUUGUUCAUACAUGUAUCAAAAUCCUCUUCGUGGCACGUGCUUGAGCAAAGAAUUUCGCCCUCUCUAUCGAAGACAGAAGCUGGCGCAAGCCGCGACAUGAACAUAUCGUUUCCAAUUCUUCCAGCAAAAAGCUUUCUCCGAGUGCUUCUGCCAUGACAGCAACAAUGACUCUGGCAAUGUGUUUGGACGAACAAAUACCCCAAGGAAAGAUUCAUGAUUACUUUGACACUUCCAAAGUUUAUUUUACAAUGCCGAACAUUUAAUAAAUAUAUAAUCAACACAAUGAGUGCGGACUCGCACCUUUGGCUCGGCUGUGUCGGUCUCUUCUGAAUGUUUCAUCAACGAGGCACACAAAAACAAAUGCCAAAUUGAUCAACAAUAUAUCUUCCAUUGAUGAUCUUUCAAAAUAUUUAAUUGCUUGUCUUUCAGAAGACAAUUUUAAAAAAAUUAACAACUCCACUCCUGACUCGGACUCCAUUUAUUUAGUGCAUAGCCGCUAUACUUCAUAUUAUACAAUUGAAGUGGAUCCAAACCAAAACAAAAAAUGUAAACAAAGCCCGCACAUGCGCAGAAUGGACUGUAAUCUAGCUUUAAGGAAAUUUUAAAGAAUUUUCAAGGGAUUUUCUCUAAUUGGACGUUUUUUUAAAGUGGAAGCACUGCAAUUUUCAAAAAUAUAAUAUACAUCGCAAACUCGCAAAGAAAUAGAAUUUUGGGUGGAAUUAUACUCGUUUUUUAUAAGUACAAUCUAACAACAAUAUCUUCAGAAUAUAUGAUUCUUCAUCACAUUUACAAAUUUAUUAUUGUAUUUUUUUAUCAAUUUGAGAGACUUUUGAUUCGUGAUUUUGAUCAAUUUCUAUGAAAUUGGGUUCGUGAAAAAUGAAAAUUGAUUCGUGAUUCACGAAUCACGAACCGUUAUUUCGAACCCUGCUAACAAUAGUCCAUAGUUUAUUUAAUAUGUGUUUUAUCACUUUAUAUAUUAAGCAUAAAUAUCUGUGGCAUGGAUGGCCUAUAUUUUGCCGGAUGCCAGUAACCCAAUCCAGCAUAUCCCUACUCUCUGCCCACGGCCAUGUCUCUGCUUAACAUACUAUACAUAUUACAACUUUGCACUUCACUUGGUUCGAUUAGAAUUACUGGGUUUGGUGGAUAAUCCAAUAUAUAGAUACUAUUGAAUUAAGACCUAUAACCAGGAACGAUUGUGAAAAAUGUAACACUAAAUCUUCGACCAGGAAUUGAACCUACGGCCCUGUGCUUCCGGAACAGUGCUCUGCCCAACUGAGGUCCGGAAUCGCAGGACAAUAGGUUUGAUUACUGCCAGAUAUUACACCCUGCUACUACAUAUUACACCCUGCAUUACUUUGUACCAAUAUGAACAGUCUUUGUAAUUCAUGGUGAUUAUGACAAUAAACUAUGGACAUUAUCUUAUAUAUAAAGGAUAAGUCUUAUUAUUAUUUAUUUAAAAAAUUUCUGGUUUCUGAUUGGCUAACAGCCAACUGUGAAAUUGUCAUAUCAACUCAGUGGUUAACCAAAUAUGGAUUUUUCACAUUCAUAUUAGCAAAAUGACGUCAAAGAGUCAACAUGAAAAAAAUUUGGAUAUGUUUGCGCCAUAUUACUAUGACGAUAAGAUUUACAGGGUCUGAAAAUUUGCAGUAUCCCGAUAUCCACGGGAUACUAAAAUUUGGCUUUGGAUACCAAACUGUGAAUGACUUAUAUCCCAAUUGGAUACUAAGAAAAUUUCAAACAUUGAUACUGUAGCUUUUGAAUACUGUCUAUGAAUUUGCCACCCAAGUCUUUCCUCAUAUAAUGUGCAUUUUUGUGUAUUAAUGAAUUGUCUAGUUCUUGACAACUUGACUGUUGAAUCUCCUGUUGUUAUUGUAAUUUGUAACAGCGAGAGUUAUUGGAUGGGACAGGGUAUAAUACUUAUGGUAACCAGUAUCCAGAAGUGGGAUACUGCAUUCUCAGGGCGGAUACUAAACUUUGAAUCCUGGUAUCCCAGUUGGAUACUGAAAAGAUAGUUAAAUUUCAGACCCCGCAAGAAUCAUAUCGACUCGCUGACACCAUUGAUAUGAUGACGACGACGACAGCUGCCGAAGGACUAACUAGGAAUUGUUUUUUUCUUUAUACAGAUAAAAUACAAAUGGCUUCCGUUUGUUUUGAAUUUUUUAAAUAAAUAAUAAAAGUAUUAUUGAAUUUGGUUUUCGCACACAAUAUGAAGAAUUAUCAAUCCCUCAGUUUGGCGUUAUCAACCUCAGCCUUUGGCUUCGGUUGAUAACGGCAAACUUUGGGCUUCAUAAUUCUUCAUAUUGUGCUCAACCUCAUUCAAUAAUUGUUAAAUAUUAAUUAAAAACUGUUUUUACAUCAAGAGUUAAUAGUCCCUUAUAACUGACUGAGCAGUGUCUCAGUUUAGGAUGCAAGUCCAUUGUUCUAGUUUUUUAUAGGGUAUAAUUUACUAAUUAUGAUUAUAUUUUCAAUAAAUAAAGUUUUCCUUUUACAGAUUCCAAUACGAUGGAUCUCUGGUGGCAUUUGCAUGACAGCCUGUGCUUGGAUCAGUAUUAAAUGUACAUGAAGAAAUCAAUGGACUUGAACAAAUUGUUUGUUAGAUCAUAAUAUUGAUUGUGAAGUGGAAAGUGUUAUAAUACGGCUUUGUGAGAAACUCUAUUCGCCACAACACAUUGCUGUGCAAUCAGAACUAAACAUAGUUGUGUAUAAGAAUGACAGAAAAUAAAACUUAUGUUGUGCAUACAGAAUUUUCUAUUUUUUAAAUACAUAAUAUAGGUAAUAUAAUAUAGUAGAAUUUUAUGUCUAAAAAUUUUCUAAAAGUA